CAUCUCACUCGAUUGAAUAAUAGUUGAAGGUUUUGGGUCUGAGGUGCAAUAAAUAUAUAUAAAAUUUACACUUGAUAAUUUCCAUCUACAAAAUCUUUCAACUAUUCAAUCGAGUGAGAUG